GAUCCUGGCUCAGGAUGAACGCUGGCGGCGUGCUUAACACAUGCAAGUCGAACGAAGCACUUAAGAUUGAUUCUUCGGAUGAAGUCUUUUGUGACUGAGUGGCGGACGGGUGGAGUAACGCGUGGGUAACCUGCCUCAUACAGGGGGAUAACAGUUAGAAAUGACUGCUAAUACCGCAUAAGCGCACAGGGUCGCAUGACCUGGUGUGAAAAACUCUGGUGGUAUGAGAUGGACCCG
rnacentral:rRNA from 1 species